GGCUCGAUAGGUUAGUUAGAAAAGCACUUGUCUAGCGAAUAAGGGUCGUGAGUUCAAAUCUCAUCUGAGCUG
rnacentral:tRNA from 1 species